GCGUCAGUAGUGUAACGGAUAGAGCACGCGCUCCUGGAGAGAGUGAGGUGCGGGUUUUAAUCCCGCCUGACGCG